rnacentral:lncRNA from 1 species
UUCUAGAUCGCACAAUAUAACCCUAUUGCAUGCUUUUAAGGCUGUUUCUAUUUUAUGGGCUUUAAAAUCUUUUAUAUUUAUUGGUGAUUUAUAUGUGGUUGGUUGGUAUUUGCCUUCUUGGCACUCAAGAGCUGGACAAGCAGAAUCAGAGCUCUUCUGCCGUGCUGAGAAAGAACGUUGUAUGAGCCUUCAAGCGUUAUCAAGUUACCUUCGAUAAAAUACAAAGUUAUUGGGAAAGUUAUGAAUAUUUUUCUUCCAAUUUUUCAGGAAAUAUCGUUUGCAGUUUCAUUUAAAAUAUCUAAAACUUUCUAAGACAAAUAUGCAUAGCUUCCUCCCAAAAUAAACAUUUUAUCGAAGGAAGUUUGACAACUCUUGAAGGUUCAAACGGCAUUUUUCCUUCACGGAAAAAAGUUGCUGAAGUAUCAUCCCGGAUGUUAAAAAUCUGCGCGACAUCUUUGAGUGUUGUCAUUGACACUCGGCUGUUAAUUUAACAUCCUAUCUACAUUGAAUUAACAAUCGUAGCGGUCGUAUCAUCAUUCAAUAUUUUUCAGUUGUCGCGCGAGAUUUGGAACAUCUAGGAUGUUACUUUAGCCAUUUUUUACUUUCCGCGGCACAGUAAGAGAGCUUCUGUAGGUAGAAGAGGGAACCUACCCCUGGAAUAAUGUUUUAAUUUCAAUCAAUUUUGUGGAAAAUGUAGGAAGCAGCCCCUUGUCAAUACCAGGAUCUACUGUGUACUUCCCCCAAGGGAGGGAUCUAGAGGAGUUCAAGCAAAAGUAUCCACACAAUUCGGGUGACCUUUCAAUGUAUUUUGGUGAUCAAGGGGCCAGUUCAUCUUCAGGCCCGAAAGUUUCAUCUCCAAGGCUCUUCAAACCCAGCCGUAGCUCCUCCUCAAGAGGAAGCCCUGGCCCCGAAUAUGACAGGCUACUGUGGGAUUGCUGGAACGAUUGCAUCUUGUACCAUGGUUACUUCAGAAAGUACUCUUAUAUGAACCAAGCAGGCCAGACAAUGAAGCGGAUAGCGGAUCCAAGGCUGAUCAAGCAGGAAUCAGCUCUCUCUCGAAAUCUGAGUUUUGGGACCCUAAGGAUCACCUCUUCUUUCAUGGAAAAGGUGUUGCUGGUGGCGACUUCCUCCCAAAAAAGGGAGGGGGAGGCACAUCACCUAGAAGUGAUUCUUCUAGAGAAUCGUCUCCGCGGUUCCCAAGCCCCAGGACCGAUCCCCAGAAUAAAAGUCCAUGGAAAUGCUUUUGUAAACUUUCUGAAGCGGUGCUUGAAGUUCUCAAGGUUCAUAAAAGAGACGUCAAAUCAUUCGUGAAAGACAACAGACUCCUGGAGGGAGAGCUCCACGAAUUCCUCAAGUCACAUUGGUAUGACAUAGUUCCUUACAGUCAACUCGGGACAAAAGCAGAAGAGAGUCUGCUUGGCAACAAUGUGCAAACAAUUUGAGGCGGCAAAGACUUUCAAUUCAGUUCAACGUAGGAAUCAGUAUCAAAACCCAGUCGUCGCCAACCAUAGGAUUGCCAAAAUGUUUAAAAAAUUUGACAACUUCCUCGAUAAUCUUUUUUUUAAUGUCAAGUGAGCCGACACCUAUCACUGAGCUAAUCUGAACCAAUCUGGCUGUAAAGUAAAUAUUUUUCAUUAAUAAUGUGAUUUUUGUUUUUAUAUUUUGGACCAAUUGCGCAAUGCUUAUGGAAGUGCACUACAAGCGUGGCAUCUGUAAGCACAGUCGUAUCAUAACGUUUCACGAAAUAACUUUGCUCAAAAUAAAACAUUUUCCCGGCAACAGUGUUCAUUUUAUCAAGUCUAGGCCGGCUAAUUCUCAUUGAGUUGUUUUUCGAAAUAAUGUUUCUCCGGCAACAACAUCCUAUUUUUAAUGCCCCCUCAAGAAUGUUAUAAAGAGAUACGACUAUAUAAGUUUACCAGGGAGCUAUGCCCCCUGGCCGCCACGCGGCCCAACCCCUAGAGGGCGCUUCGCCCUCUCUUAGGCCCGCUUCGACGAAAAAACAGCCCAAAAAAAAUGAAAAGAUUUUCAUACCCCACUCUCAUUUGUCCAAUUUUCCUCUGACCGGGAACAAUCGAACAAAUAAGAAAUCUUCCAUUCAU